rnacentral:rRNA from 1 species
UACGAAGGGGGCUAGCGUUGUUCGGAAUUACUGGGCGUAAAGCGUGCGCAGGCGGCUUCUCAAGUCAGGGGUGAAAGCCCAGAGCUCAACUCUGGAAUUGCCUUUGAGACUGAGAAGCUUGAGUACGAGAGAGGUGAGUGGAAUUCCCAGUGUAGAGGUGAAAUUCGUAGAUAUUGGGAAGAACACCGGUGGCGAAGGCGGCUACACUGGCUCGGUAACUGACGCUCAUGCACGAAAGCGUGGGGAUCAAACAGG